AGAAAGUGAUGGUAUCAGAAUGGCAGGAGGGCCCAGCAAGGAACUGAAACUUGAUUCCUUUGUCACUACCUGCUGUGAGUGGACCUGAAAUACAGAAAUCCUUCUGCUCUGUUGUAACAGCAAGAAGAUGCUGCUUCUGGAACUCUAUGAGAUGGUUCUUUCUGGCCACUCAGCUCACAUGUCACUCCACAGAGGCGUGAGUCUAACGUUGUUACUGUCUCCUAUAUCAAGCCGCCGUCUUCAAACACUAAGAGAUCGUCACGAUCCAGUGAGGUGCUCGCAUCAGAGUUGAGUGCCUGUCAUCCCCAAGAAGAGCAAAGUGCUUGUUGCUCUUGGUCCCGAGCAGACACCAGAGCAAGAGUUGGCAUAGAAGGGCCCCGGUGAGGAAACGCAUUGGAAGAGUGAGUGCAUGGAUUAAAAAAUGCAGUGUGCCAGGAAGGGCCUGGGCCACUGGGUCCUUCCAGCUGCUUCUCUGGAGAGCAGAAAAGGGGGUGGGGGUGCUUGACUUGCUCACAACAUGUUUUGGGGUUUGCCUAGGAUGUGUUAUGAAUCAGUGCCAGGGAUUGCCCAUCCCUUGUGCUCUGACCCAGUCAAAUAUUUUGCUUGUAAAGCUAUUAAAGAGGUAGAGAUAACGGC
rnacentral:lncRNA from 1 species